rnacentral:misc_RNA from 1 species
UGCGCAGAGAAUAUUGGAUCAACAGACAUUAAACUCUGACAGAGAAAAAUGAUGAAUUUGCAACAACAAUAGAAAAAAACAGGCCCAAAAUGAAUCAAAUGGCUAUGAUUUAGUAAAAUGCAGGGUUGAAAUCCUGUUUUCACGAAUAAGAAAGCAGAGUAGUGGAAGAUUCGCUUUGUCGGUGUAAACGAGAAGCAGAGAACUACAAAAGACCUUGUAGUUCCAUGAGUAAAGAACCUACCCAUAGUUCCAGAGGCGUC